rnacentral:tRNA from 1 species
AGUGUGGCUCAGGGGUAGAGCACUUGCCUAGCAUGCAGGAGGCCCUGGGUUUGAUCCCUGGUACU